UACAGAGGUCUCAACCGUUGUUCGGAUUCAUUGGGCGUAAAGGGUGCGUAGGCGGCGGGGCAAGUCAGGUGUGAAAUCUCGGGGCUCAACCCCGAACUGCACUUGAUACUGCCUUGCUCGAGUACUGGAGAGGAGACUGGAAUUUACGGUGUAGCAGUGAAAUGCGUAGAUAUCGUAAGGAAGACCAGUGGCGAAGGCGAGUCUCUGGACAGUUACUGACGCUGAGGCACGAAGGCCAGGGGAGCAAACGGG
rnacentral:rRNA from 1 species